rnacentral:tRNA from 1 species
GCAGAUAUGGCCGAGUGGUUAAGGGGACUGACUCGAAAUCAGUUUCCAUCUUGGAGCGUAGGUUCGAAUCCUACUAUCUGCG